UUUCGGCGGGGCUGUGCAGGACCUCCGCAAGGGGGUGCCGGCUCCUUUGCCCGGCCCGCCAACCUGCACAGCCCUGCCACCCGU
rnacentral:antisense_RNA from 20 species